rnacentral:rRNA from 1 species
UACGAAGGGGGCUAGCGUUGUUCGGAAUUACUGGGCGUAAAGCGCGCGCAGGCGGUUUUUCAAGUCAGUGGUGAAAGCCCGGAGCUCAACUCCGGAACUGCCAUUGAAACUGUAAAACUUGAGGACGAGAGAGGUGAGUGGAAUUCCCAGUGUAGAGGUGAAAUUCGUAGAUAUUGGGAAGAACACCGGUGGCGAAGGCGGCUCACUGGCCCGAUACUGACGCUGAGGCACGAAAGCGUGGGGAGCAAACAGG